GACGAACGCUGGCGGCGUGCCUAAUACAUGCAAGUCGAACGCAGUGGGGACGGGUGCGUAACACGUGGGUAACCUCUCAUCAGUGGGGAUAACACUUGGAAACAGGUGCUAAACCCAUACUGAUGGAUGGACCCGCGGUGCAUUAGCUAGUUGGUAAGGUAACGGCUCACCAAGGCCACGAUGCAUAGCCGACCUGAGAGUGUUAUCGGCCACACUGGGACUGUGAAACGGCCCAGACGCCUACGGUAGGCAGCAGUAGGUAAUCUUCUGCAAUGGACGAAAGCCUGACAGAGAAACGCCGCGUGAGUGAAGAAGGUUUUCGGAUCGUAAAACUCUGUUGUUAGAGAAGCGGUAUCUAACCAGAAAGCCACGACUAACUACGUGCCAGCAGCCGCGGUAAUUC
rnacentral:rRNA from 1 species